rnacentral:lncRNA from 1 species
CUCUUUUAUGAUAUGAGAAUUGCUUUCUAACGCACAUGGGAAGCAAGCCUGGUCUAUAUUGCUAGAGUUAUGUUUACUUCACCCCCCACGUACUUCUCUAUUCUUAUAUUUUCAUUCCGUCUCUAAGCUUCCCCUUUAGUCCCUACUGAGACUUAUUUCAUCUCGACUAUAGUUGAAUGGAAGUUUCAUUUCCAAAGUCUCAAAUAAAUUCUUU